AUUGAACGCUGGCGGCAGGCCUAACACAUGCAAGUCGAACGAGUGGCGGACGGGUGAGUAAUGUCUCGGAACCUGCCUGGUGGCGGGGGAUAACUACUGGAAACGGUAGCUAAUACCGCAUACCAUCGGAUGUGCCCAGAUGGGAUUAGCUAGUAGGUGGGGUAACGGCUCACCUAGGCGACGAUCCCUAGCUGGUCUGAGAGGAUGACCAGCCACACUGGAACUGAGACACGGGCCAGACUCCUACGGGAGGCAGCAGUGGGGAAUAUUGUACAAUGGGCGCAAGCCUGAUGCAGCCAUGCCGCGUGUAUGAAGAAGGCCUUCGGGUUGUAAAGUACUUUCAGCAGGGAGGCGUUAUCCGCAGAAGAAGCACCGGCUAACUCCGUGCCAGCAGCCGCGGUAAUUC
rnacentral:rRNA from 1 species